CUCAGGCAAGCCCUGCACCUCUCUGAGCCUCUUCCAUAGCUGGGUAGGAGGAUGUGGAGACUGCCUGUGAACAGCCCUGACAACUUGCCUGGCAUGUGAUGCUUGGAGAGGUUGGGAAGCUCUAGGAGCAGCAAGAUGUUGGGAACAAAUAAUAAACAGCCAGAGAUACAAGGCAACUUGGCUGAUGAAUCCCAUUUGGAUGGAGACACUGAAGAGAUAAAGACCAACCAAUAAGGAACAGAUACCGAAGCAGGAAGUAAAUGUGCCCACUCAUUUAUCUGCAUCUUGUUUGCACUUCAUUGGAUAACACUAAGGAUUUGUUUGUUUGAAUUGCUCUUCAUUUGCAUUGGAAUCAUCCGUGCCUGUCAGUAAAUGAUCCCCUGAAGAAGGAAAUGGCUACCCACUCCAGUAUGCUUGCCUGGGAAAUUCCAUGGACAGAGGAGCCUGGCAGGUUACAGUUAUUAGGGUUGCAAAAGAGUCAACACGAUUUAGCAACUAAAACAACAACAAAAGAAGAAUCCAUGGAUAAGGCACUCCUAAAGUGUCUUCAACACGUAAAGGUCUGACAUUUUUAUUGCUCUUUGACUUUGAGACUUCAGCCUCUGUGUUCUUCAUACAACAUUGUUCUCUGCCAUCAGGCACAUUGGUGACUCAGCAUUUUCUUAAAGGAUGGAUAGCUAUUGUCUUCUGGAUUUUUUUUUUCCGGGCAGCUACACCCAUUCUGCAAAUUAUACAGCAUUAUUGAUGGCUUAAAUGUUUG
ensembl:lncRNA